GUGGACAGAGCCAAGAUGACCAGGGUGCUUGGGACGGGUAUCCUCACUGGCCUGAGCCAGGCUGGACAAGUCUCCAGCCAGAGCCCGUCUGUCUUCCCCCUGGUCUCCUGCUGCAAAGACGUCAUCAUGAAUGCCAGCUCCUUGACACUGGGCUGCCUGGUCGCGGACUACUUCCCAGAGCCAGUGACAGUGACCUGGGACUCAGGGUCCCUGAAGAGGAGCACAGUGGCCUUCCCCAGUGCCCACAACCCAGCCUCGAGCCUCUACACCACCGUCAGCCAGAUGACCGCCUCAGGAGAGUGGGCCAAGCAGACGUUCACCUGCAGCGUGGCUCAUGCCGCCUCCACCACCAACAAGACCAUCAGCGUGUGUGCCGCGGACUUCUCCCCGCCCACUGUGAAGCUCUUCCACUCGUCCUGCCAGCCCAACGGGGAUGACAGGACGGUCAUCCAGCUCCUCUGCCUCAUCUCCGGCUACCACCCGGACGAGAUGGAGGUCAGCUGGCUGGUGGACGGGCACAGGGAAGCAGACAGCUCCCAGCACGUCGGCCCCGUCAGGCAGGAGGGCAAGGCAAACUCCACCCACAGCGAGUUCAACAUCACCCAGGCCGACUGGGUGUCCCAAAAAACCUACACCUGCCAGGUCUCCUAUCGAGGCCUGACCUUUCAGGACCAUGCCCGCAAAUGCACAGAGUCCGACCCUCGAGGCGUGAGCACCUACCUGAUCCCACCCAGCCCCCUCGACCUGUACGUCCACAAGUCACCCAAGAUCACCUGCCUCGUGGUGGACCUGGCCAGCGUGGAUGACAUGACCCUGAAGUGGACCCGGGAGAGCAAGCUCCCCUUGCCACAGGACCAGCGGGUCUCCAAGCGUCACUUCAACGGGACGUACACCUUCAUGUCCACCCUGCCGGUGGACGCCACAGACUGGAUCGAGGGCGAAACCUACUACUGCACAGUGAACCACCCUGACCUGCCCAUCGCCAUUGUGCGCUCCAUCUCCAAGGCCCCUGGCAAGCGUGCAGCCCCUGAGGUCCACGUGUUCCCGCCUCCCGAGGAAGGGCAGGGGCCCACGGACAAGCUCACCCUCACCUGCCUGGCUCAGAACUUCUUCCCUGCCGACAUCUCGGUGCUCUGGCUGCGUAAUGACGUCGCGGUCCGCACAGACCAGUACACCACCACGUGGCCCCGCAGGACCAGCGGCUCCGUCCCCACCUUCUUUGUCUUCAGCCGUCUAGAGGUCAGCCGGACGGACUGGACACUGAACAGCAAAUUCUCCUGCCAAGUGGUCCAUGAGGCACUGACCCAAACCAGGACCCUUGAGAAAACCGUGUCCAAAGCCCCCGGUAAAUGAUGCUGACCUCCCUCCCACGCCCCUCUCCCCGAGGGCUCCGUCCUGCUGGGCCUGGGAAGGGAGCAGGCCAGACCUCCCAACCACUACUGUCAAUAAACGCUCCGCACCUGCUGGA